rnacentral:rRNA from 1 species
GACGAACGCUGGCGGCGUGCUUAACACAUGCAAGUCGAACGGAAAGGCCAUGCUCUUGUGGGGUGCUCGAGUGGCGAACGGGGGAGUAACACGUGAGUAAUCUGCCCUUGACUUUGGGAUAACUUCAGGAAACUGGGGCUAAUACCGGAUAGGAGCUCCUGCUGCAUGGUGGGGGAUGGAAAGUUUCGGCGGUUGGGGAUGGACUCGCGGCUUAUCAGCUUGUUAGUGGGGUAGUGGAUUACCAAGGCUUUGACGGGUAGGCGGCCUGAGAGGGUGGACGGCCUCCUUGCGACUGAGGUACGGCCCAGUCUCCUACCGGACGCAGCAGUGGGGAAUAUUGCACAAUGGGCCGGAGCCUGUUGCAACAACCCCGCGUGCGUGAUGACGGCCUUCGGGUUGUAAACCGCUUUCGCCUGUGACGAAGCGUGAGUGACGGUAAUGGGUAAGGAAGCACCGGCUAACUACGUG